rnacentral:lncRNA from 1 species
UCAGAGACGACGUUUUCAAGGACAGGGUUGCGUGGUUCACGGACAUCUGCUGCUAUAAAAAGACCCCAAACACCCAAGAUCGCCACUCCAUCCCUGGAACACACACAGACUGUCAUCACAAAGACCAGGUUUAAAAGCCCAAACAGCAGCAGGAAAUAUGGCAAACUGGUGCCCCUCCGCCAAGGUGAUCCUGUUCGAGAAGGAAUGCUUUGGAGGUAGAUAUUUGACAGUCUCGCAGGACAUGGACUGUUUGGGAGCCUUCGACAACUCUGUGUCAUCCGCCAUUGUCCAGGAGGGAGACUGGGCGCUGUACAGUGAGGUCAAAUGUUCCGGGAAGCGGAUGAUCCUUUCUGAAGGACAGAGCUACAGCAGCCUCCCUAGCAUGAAUAACACUGCUUCAUCCAUUUGUAAAAUUUGAGUUUCAGCUGACGCCAACAUGGUGUAGCAGCUCCUCCUUAGGUGGACGACUGACUUGCCUCACACUGACAUGGAUGCCCCGCAACACGUACAGCAACAUAGACGCCGUGUUUCAAUAUCUACA